AGUAAAGAAGUAAAAAUUACAUUUAGUUUCGACCUAAAUAAAGAUAUAAAAUCCUUUACUU
rnacentral:tRNA from 1 species